rnacentral:rRNA from 1 species
UACGGGGGGGGCAAGCGUUUGUUCGGAAUUACUGGGCGUAAAGGGCUCGUAGGCGGCCAACUAAGUCAUACGUGAAAUCCCUCGGCUUAACCGGGGAACUGCGUCUGAUACUGGAUGGCUUGAGUUCGGGAGAGGGAUGCGGAAUUCCGGGUGUAGCGGUGGAAUGCGUAGAGAUCCGGAGGAAUACCAGAGGCGAAGGCGGCCAACUGGGCUUGUUCUGACGCUGAGGUGCGAAAGCGUGGGGGAGCGAACAGG